rnacentral:rRNA from 1 species
GACGAACGCUGGCGGCGUGCUUAACACAUGCAAGUCGAACGGAAAGGCCCUGCUUGCAGGGUACUCGAGUGGCGAACGGGUGAGUAACACGUGGGUGAUCUGCCCUGCACUUCGGGAUAAGCCUGGGAAACUGGGUCUAAUACCGGAUAGGAGCCAUUUUUAGUGUGAUGGUUGGAAAGUUUUUUCGGUGUAGGAUGAGCUCGCGGCCUAUCAGCUUGUUGGUGGGGUAAUGGCCUACCAAGGCGGCGACGGGUAGCCGGCCUGAGAGGGUGGACGGCCACCUUGGGACUGGGAUACGGCCCAGACUCCUACGGGAGGCAGCAGGGGGGAAUAUUGCACAAUGGGCGCAAGCCUGAUGCAGCGACGCCGCGUGGGGGAUGACGGCCUUCGGGUUGUAAACUCCUUUCGCUAGGGACGAAGCUUUUUGUGACGGUACCUAGAUAAGAAGCACCGGCUAACUACGUG